AUAGGAUUAAAGGACAAGUAAUAUUAUUUAAAAUCAUCAGAGAGCUAGUGGUUGCUGUGAACUAGUGUUUUUUAUAAUAUGAAUACACCUUGAUAAAUGAGACAUCCUACGUUUGUUAAUGAACGUAUCAUUAAUAGAGUGGAUAUUUUUCUUAUGAAAAGAAGAAUGUUUAAGUUUGGUGGUAACGUGCAAAAGCGCCCUUACA
rnacentral:ncRNA from 1 species